AUGUUAAUCUGUCCAUAUUUUUUCCCUUCCCUCUCCUCAUCUCCUCUCCUCUCCUACGCAGCUCCCUCCGCCCUCACCGCACCUUCGUCCUUCGAACCUCCACCCCAGCCGAACGCCACCACCUGCGACCACCACGAUCCAAAGUCCGGCAAGUCUGCAGCUCUAAAACCGGCACAUACCACCACCAGCGACGCCCACCAGCCAAAAAGGAAAAAUAAUGGUUUUCUGAUUUGCAGUUCCUUGGGUUAGUGAUGCUUUUUGUCUUGAAGUUAUUCCCCACAAGAAAGCGUUUGGUUCACGUUUGGUUCACAAGUUCUUAGAUUUAACCAAAACGACACAGUUGGCUUUAUAAGAAUACCCAAAACAAUCUGAGCCCUCCAUUUUUUCUACAGCAGAUACUGAAGCCAAAUCCAUUAGAAUAAACCCUGUGUUUUGCAAAGCCCCCAUCACUCGGUCUCCAUGGCUGUGGACAGGGAAAAGCUUCAAGAAGAAUCUCCCGUGCUACGUUUCUACAGAAUUGUUCUCGGUUGGGACUACUUCCGCCUCCUCAAGAACUCCUUCGAAAAUAAAGGAAACUUUGGCGAUGGAGCUUCCUCGGGGCUGAGGGAGGUGAAGGACGCGUAUAAGGACGUUGAUGAUUAUAUGUCAACUUUUGAGCCACUUCUAUUCGAGGAAGUCAAAGCUCAGAUUACUCAGAAGAGAGAUGAAGAAGAGGUGACACAAUGGCAUAGCAGGCUGGUGGUGGAAUGCAAUGAGGUUGAUGGAUUUCACUUGCUCGCGGUCACUUAUGCGGCUGACGACACAGAGGAAUCGAUAUCACAGAAUGACCUGUUGCUUCUUUCAAAAGAAAAUUUUCAAGAGGGUACAAGGAUGCCAACAACAUAUGCAUUUGCAUUGGUGGAGAAUUGUCAGAAUAAUUCUUUUAGACUUAGAAUGUAUUUAGCUGGAGAAGUCGAGCAUUCAAAUACAGAUGUAGUUAAAUCUAGUCAGAGGCUGUUAAGUAUGCGGACGGUUAUUACUUCACCGACUAGUGAAGUGGAUAAACUAUUUUACAGUCUAAAGAUCUGCAGUUUAUCAACUAUUGCUCGUGAAUAUGUGGCUCUAUGGUCGAUUGUCUCUCUUCCUUUUAAGGAUUUAAUAUUAUCGGCUGCUGAAAAGAAUAUUGGUUGUGAAAACCAGGCUUGGAAAAUUUCUAAAUCCCUGGAGGAAUAUAUAAAACACAAUCAUAAUGAAUCUCAACAAGAAGCCAUACAGGCUGGUCUAGCACGUAAAGCUUUUGUUCUGAUACAGGGUCCCCCAGGAACAGGAAAAACAAAGACUAUACUUGGGCUUCUAAGUACCAUUUUGCAUGCUUCUCCAGCAAGAGUGCUCUCCAAGGGUGAAUUGCUUGAAAUAAAGCAUAAGACGGAACUAUCCAUGCAGGAAAAAUACAAUUACUGGGCGCGAGCAUCUCCAUGGCUAACUGGUAGUAAUCCUAGAGAUAACAUAAUGCCAAUUGAUGGUGACAAUGGUUUUUUUCCUACUACCGGAAAUGAGUUGAAACCAGAAGUAGUCAAUUCCAGUCGUAAAUAUCGUGUACGUGUGCUUGUAUGCGCCCCAUCAAACUCUGCUCUGGAUGAGAUUGUCCUGCGCGUUUUAAAUACAGGUGUUCGUGAUGAAAAUGACCGCGCAUAUAAUCCUAAAAUUGUGCGGAUUGGUCUUAAGGAGCAUCAUUCUGUUCGGGCAGUAUCCAUGGACUACCUUGUGAAACAAAAGCAGGAAAGCAUGAAUGCUGAUAAAGAGAAACAUGGAGGUCCAGGAAGAGAUAAGGACAGUAUCCGUGCGGCAAUUUUGGACGAGGCUGUGAUUGUCUUUUCCACCCUUAGCUUCAGUGGUUCAACUCUUUUCAGUAAAUGGAAUCGUGGGUUUGAUGUUGUUAUAAUAGAUGAAGCAGCACAAGCUGUGGAACCAGCCACUCUUAUUCCGUUGGCCAAUGGAUGCAAACAAGUGUUUCUGGUUGGCGAUCCAGUUCAACUGCCAGCAACUGUAAUUUCUCCUGCUGCCGAGAAAUUUGGAUAUGGGACGAGUUUGUUUAAGAGAUUACAGCGGGCUGGUUAUCCAGUGACGAUGCUGAAGACACAGUACCGAAUGCAUCCAGAGAUAAGAAGCUUUCCUUCAAGGGAGUUUUAUGCAGAGUCAUUGGAGGAUGGGCCUAAUAUUGAAGUGCAUACAAGCCGUUCUUGGCAUGAAUACCACUGCUUUGGACCAUUUUGCUUUUUUGAUUUGCAUGAAGGGAAAGAAUCCAAGCUCUCAGGGAGUGAGUCUUGGGUAAAUGUUGAUGAGGUUGAGUUUGUUCUCCUCAUGUAUCAUAAGUUGGUGAGCAUGUAUCCAGAGCUCAAGUCAAGUUCUCAGCUUGCAAUUAUAUCGCCCUAUAGCCAACAAGUAAAGCUCCUCAGAGACCGUUUUAAGAAUACCUUUGGAGUGGAUUCAAAUAAAGUGGUUGAUAUUACUACUGUCGAUGGUUGCCAGGGACGUGAGAAGGAUGUUGCAAUAUUUUCAUGUGUUAGGGCAAGCAAAGAUAAAAGCAUUGGGUUUCUUGCUGAUUUUCGGCGAAUGAAUGUCGGGAUCACCAGAGCAAAGUCUUCUGUCCUGGUGGUAGGGUCUUCAACAACGUUGAGGAGGGAUGAGCACUGGAAUAACCUUGUGGAAAGUGCUGAGAAGAGAAAUUGUUUUAUUAAGGUUUCCAAGCCCUAUACCUCAUUUUUCACCUAUGGAAAUCUGGAUUCUAUGAAAGUGAAGAAUGUUGAACCCGGGGAGACAGGACAGGAUGAUGAGGAUGUAACCCUUCAUGAUAAUCCUGGGGAUGCUGACCAGAGGCUGGCAGAUGACCAUGACUAUGGUGAUGGGGAUGGGGAGAUGGAUGAUGGGGGCUUUGAUGAUGAGUAACUCCAAACAUUACUUGGAUUAUCUUACGGAAAUCAAUCACAUUACAAUUUCAGAGCGGCAGCUGUUUUAGUCAAUGCCAAGUCUUCAUUGAUGGCAGUGACGUAUUAGGAGUGUGAUAUGUAGAGGCUUCACAAGACUUGUGUGCUUAACGCAGCAUCCCCUUGAGCCUAUUUAUGCAUUUGUGUAACAUCAAAUUUUGCUCCUUUGAUGCAUCCUUUUUUUUUUUUUUUGGUUCGGCUAUGCUCCUUUCAUAUUAUCCACAAAGUACUUAUCCAAUAUAUAUAAUGCUAGGUUAGGGUUAGAAUGCAUUUCUUGGGUUUUUUACUAAUUAAGAAAAAUAAAAGGGAGUGUUAAUUUA